rnacentral:lncRNA from 1 species
CAGCACAGAAACAGAGCAUAAAAAAUAUGUCUUUCUUUAGUCAUGGCAAAAUAAAUGCCAUUUGUGAUAAAAGUGGUAAGAUAAUUUUAGAAGUCACACCUUCCUCUGGUUCUGCAUUAAGAUUUGUUGUAAGCUUCGAGUGCUAUUUACUUCUUAAUCAGGAUGGGAGAAGAAAGUGUGUGUGUGUGUGUGUGUGUGUGUAUAAGAAAGAGGGCAGAUAUGUGUUUAACCUAUUUCAUUCAUUCAACAAAUAUUUAUUGAGCACUUAAUAUUUGGAAGGCUCUCCCAGAUGCAGAAGAUGUAACUAUGAAUGAGAAAAAGUCUCUUCUGCCAGGAUGUUCAAAUUCUUGAGAGACAGGGGAUGAAGGAGACAUAAGGCACAAGUAAAAAAAUAAAUAAAUAAACCAUAUAAAACAGAAUUAUGCAAUAGAGCUGAUGGUGAUGGAAGCAAAACAGAAUUACUAUACUUUGGAUUAGGUUAUGUAAGAAUGACUCACUGAAGAGAGGAUAUUGGCCAGGCAGAGUGGCUCAAGCUUGUAAUCCUAGCAUUUUGGGAGGCCGAGGCCAGUGGAUCCCCUGAGGUCAGGAGUUUGAGACCAGCCUGGCCAACAGGAUGAAACCCCAUCUGUAAUAAAAUACAAAAAUUAGCUGGGUGUGGUGGCACAUGCCUGUAAACACAGCUAGUCGGGAGGCUGGGCCAGGAGAAUUGCUUGAACCCAGGAGGCGGAGGUUGCAGUGAGCCAAGAUUGUACCACUGCACUCCAGAAUGGGUGACAGAACGAGACUCCCUCUCAAAAAAAAAAAAAAAAAAAAAAAAAAAAAAAAAGUAAUAAUAAUUGAGGAUAUUUAAGCUGAAUUUUGAACAACAGUAAGAAUACAGACAUAAACUUAUAUUAAAUGGCUCUCCAGGCAUAGGAAAGUUAAAUGUAUAAGCUGUAAGGUAUGAAUAAAUUUCAUGUUUCCUGAGAGUUAAAAUGAUAAUCAAGAAAUCUUGUAUGAAUGUAACAUAAUAAAGAAGUAUGGAAUUAUAGGUUUAUAUAGACUAAGGGCUUUGAGUUUCACAUUGAGCAUAAUUACAAGUAUUUAAGAUAAUUUAAUGAAAGGCAAUUGUGGACUGACUAACAUAAAGAAUUGAGAAAUGAAAGGGCAAAAUUUAGGUGUUGGAAAGAAUCAAGAAGACCUUAAUGAGCCGAAAAUAAGGAAAGUACAGUGAUCCACAAGAUAACAAUGGCUUAUCAUUAGUUUUCAUACCGAACUCUAGUAGGGAAUAGGCUUGGUUAGUCUCCAAACUUUAGUUUUUUAUCUAAUGAUGUGGUAAGUGUUUUCUUUGCACAUCCAGCCCAAAUGUAAGAGUACAUUUUCAUUUUCAUAAUAUUAGGACCAUGUCUUUAGACUGAUUUAAUUAUGCAGGAUGUCUCACGAUACAGUAAGGAGUGGGCCAAGGCUCAGUAGCUAUCUUGAUGCAAUAUUUCUAAGCAUAUUAAACAUCAAUCUUGUCUUAGUUCCACAUGGGCUGCAAUAAGAAAAUACCAUAAGCCGAGUUGUUUAUAAGCAAAAGAAAUUAAUUUCUCAUAGUUCCGGAGGCUGAAAAGUCAACUGCCAAGGCACCAGCAGAUUUGAUGUCUAGUAGGGGUGCUGUUUCUUGUAGGUGAUUCCUUCUCAUGUCCUAACAUAUAAGGGUCAAGGCAGCUCUCUGGGGCUUCUUUUAUAAGGGCACUAAUAUCAUUCAAGACAGCUUGACCCUCAUGACCUAAUCACCUACCAAAGCCUUACAUCUUAAUCCUAUCACAUUAAGAAUUAGUUUCCAGCCGGGCAUGGUGGCUCACGCCUGUAAUCCUAACACUUUGGGAGGCCAAAGCGGCCGAGCACGAGGUCAGGAGAUCGAGACAUUCCUGGAUAACACGG